GGUGGCUCAGUGGUAGAGCAUUUGCCUUGCAUGCAUGAGGCCGUGGGUUUGAUUCCUCAGCACCA
rnacentral:tRNA from 1 species